UGGGGAAUCUUCCGCAAUGGACGAAAGUCUGACGGAGCAACGCCGCGUGAGUGAUGACGGCCUUCGGGUUGUAAAGCUCCGUUAAUCGGGACGAAUGGUUCUUGUGCGAAUAGUGCGAGGAUUUGACGGUACCGGAAUAGAAAGCCACGGCUAACUACGUGCCAGCAGCCGCGGUAAUACGUAGGUGGCAAGCGUUGUCCGGAAUUAUUGGGCGUAAAGCGCGCGCAGGCGGAUUGGUCAGUCUGUCUUAAAAGUUCGGGGCUUAACCCCGUGAUGGGAUGGAAACUGCCAAUCUAGAGUAUCGGAGAGGAAAGUGGAAUUCCUAGUGUAGCGGUGAAAUGCGUAGAUAUUAGGAAGAACACCAGUGGCGAAGGCGACUUUCUGGACGAAAACUGACGCUGAGGCGCGAAAGCCAGGGGAGCGAACGGGAUUAGAUACCCCGGUAGUCCUGGCCGUAAACGAUGGGUACUAGGUGUAGGAGGUAUCGACCCCUUCUGUGCCGGAGUUAACGCAAUAAGUACCCCGCCUGGGGAGUACGACCGCAAGGUUG
rnacentral:rRNA from 1 species